rnacentral:lncRNA from 1 species
UGCAAAAUGAGAUUAAUGAGAGUACUUCUCAUUUAAGGUUUAUGUUUGAUCAUGAAUUAAAGGCUUUGGAACUAAAAGAAUCUGCCGUUUUUUGAUUGUUAAUUAGCUUUAUUUUUAAUUCUAAAUUCAAUGGCAGGAUUCCUGAUCAGCAUUCAGGUGAAUCGGGUUUUCUGAAAAGAUGUGUGCAGAACUAUAAUACUUCCUGUUUCUCAGUCAUGGUCUUUGUUAUGUGUAAGGUGGUCUCCUAUUGACUGAAACACAGAACAGGGACACCUGUGAGAUCACAUUUCUGAGGUGUGCUGAAUGCCAUUGAAGCUCAUUGAAUCCUUGAAUCAUCACCUCAUGCAAACACACCUCAGAAGAUCAAAAUGCUGCAGGCUGUGAUCUUUCUGAGAAGAUCUGCAGAUGGCUGCCAUUUAUCUAGACAGAUGAACUCAUUAACAGGAGAAGGAGAAGCAGAGACACACGGACAUUUCUACUGUGUGGUUUGAAGCUACAGUGUAAUGCCCAGGGUCUCUACUGCCCUUGGGAUGCUCAUCUGUGAAGUGGUUUCACAGUGUCGAAAAAUUCAAGAAGUACUUCAAAUUCUGAACAGGUAUAUUCAAACUUUUUCUGUGAUAAAAGGUAUAAAUGCUGAAGACAUCUGAAGUGACUUUUGGUGGGUUUCUACAAAAAUCAGAACAUUUUUGAACUCUUUAUCUCAGUGAUGCGAAGGAAGUUUUCCUUUGCUUUGCUCUUGGAUGUCUACAUUUCUGCUGCCCUUAGCAAGUGAAGUUCUCCUCAUGACUGUGUCCUUUGCUGAACUUUUCAACUCUGCCACUGGCAUCAAAAUACGUUUUAGAUUUUCCUCUGACUCU